rnacentral:rRNA from 1 species
AUACGUAGGGGGCAAGCGUUAUCCGGAUUCAUUGGGCGUAAAGCGCGCGUAGGCGGCCUGUUAGGUCGGGAGUAAAAUGCAGGGGCUUAACCCCUGUCCGCUUUCGAUACCGGCAGGCUUGAGUUUGGUAGGGGAAGGUGGAAUUCCCAGUGUAGCGGUGGAAUGCGCAGAUAUUGGGAAGAACACCGGUGGCGAAGGCGGCCUUCUGGGCCAUAACUGACGCUGAGGCGCGAAAGCUGGGAGAGCAAACAGGAUUAGAUACCCUGGUAGUCCCAGCCGUAAACGAUGGACACUAGGUGUGGGGAGAUGUUCUCUCCGUGCCGCAGCUAACGCAUUAAGUGUCCCGCCUGGAGAGUACGGCCGCAAGGCUAAA